GACGAACGCUGGCGGCGUGCCUAAUACAUGCCAGUUGAGCGCUGAAGGUUGGUACUUGUACCAACUGGAUGAGCAGCGAACGGGUGAGUAACGCGUGGGGAAUCUGCCUUUGAGCGGGGGACAACAUUUGGAAACGAAUGCUAAUACCGCAUAAAAACUUUAAACACAAGUUUUAAGUUUGAAAGAUGCAAUUGCAUCACUCAAAGAUGAUCCCGCGUUGUAUUAGCUAGUUGGUGAGGUAAAGGCUCACCAAGGCGAUGAUACAUAGCCGACCUGAGAGGGUGAUCGGCCACAUUGGGACUGAGACACGGCCCAAACUCCUACGGGAGGCAGCAGUAGGGAAUCUUCGGCAAUGGACGAAAGUCUGACCGAGCAACGCCGCGUGAGUGAAGAAGGUUUUCGGAUCGUAAAACUCUGUUGGUAGAGAAGAACGUUGGUGAGAGUGGAAAGCUCAUCAAGGGACGGUAACUACCCAGAAAGGGACGGCUAACUAAGU
rnacentral:rRNA from 1 species